rnacentral:rRNA from 1 species
UACGGAGGGUGCUAGCGUUGUUCGGAAUUACUGGGCGUAAAGCGCGUGUAGGCGGCCGAUUAAGUCUGGUGUGAAAGCCCGGGGCUCACCCCCGGAAGUGCGCUGGAAACUGGUCGGCUAGAGUAUGGGAGAGGAAAGUGGAAUUCCCGGUGUAGCGAUGAAAUGCGUAGAUAUCGGGAGGAACACCAGCGGCGAAGGCGGCUUUCUGGACCAAUACUGACGCUGAGACGCGAAAGCGUGGGGAGCAAACAGG